UACGUAGGGGACUAGCGUUGUCCGGAUUUACUGGGCGUAAAGAGCGCGCAGGCGGUCGGUCAAGUCGGGUGUGAAAGCCCCCGGCUCAACUGGGGAGGGUCAUUCGAUACUGAUCGACUCGAAGGCAGGAGAGGGAAGUGGAAUUCCCGGUGUAGUGGUGAAAUGCGUAGAUAUCGGGAGGAACACCAGUGGCGAAGGCGACUUCCUGGCCUGUUCUUGACGCUGAGGCGCGAAAGCUAGGGGAGCAAACGGG
rnacentral:rRNA from 1 species